UUCCAGCUCCAAUAGCGUAUAUUAAAGUUGUUGCGGUAAAAAAGCUCGUAGUUGGAUUUCUGUUGCGAAUGGCCGGUCUUCACUACGUGAAUGUAUCUGGUUCAAUCGUGGCAUCCUCAUAGGAAACGUUGCUGCGCUUCACUGCGUGGUGCGGUGCCUAUGACUUUUACUUUGAGGAAAUUAGAGUGUUCACGGCAGGCAAUCGCCCUGAAUAUGUUAGCAUGGAAUAAUAAUAUAGGAUCUUGGUUCUAUUUUGUUGGUUUCUAGAGCUAAGAUAAUGGUUAAUAGGAACAAUUGGGGGCAUUUGUAUUAACAUGUCAGAGGUGGAAUUCUUGGAUUAUGUUACGACAAACUACUGCGAAAGCAUUUGCCAAGGAUGUUUUCAUCA
rnacentral:rRNA from 1 species